GAUUCCUCUUCCCCAUACCAUCAAAGCUCUUUACACUUCGUCUUUGCAUGGAGAAAACACUGAUCCUCGCUUUGUCAAAUUGGAACCUGUAUUCAGAUCCUCGAUGUUGAAGUCUGGUGGCAUACAAAGCAUUCCCCUUACAGUGGAAUGGUCAGCUUCAUCGCCUCAUGAGUUCUUGCUUGCCGGUUGCCAUGAUGGGACGGUUGCUUUAUGGAAAUUCUCAGCCAAUGUUUCAUCUAAGGACACGAGGCCUUUGCUUCAUUUUAGUGCAGAUACACUUCCUAUUAGAGCAGUUUCAUGGGCCCCAGUUGAAAG